GUUCUACAGUGCGACGUUCUGGAACUGGCUGCCAUUUGUAUUGCCUUGGAAAAGUUUUCUGAACAACCUGUUAAUAUUGUCACUGAUUCUUGUUAUGCUGCAGGGUUAGUUUCACGUCUGGAAUGUUCGUUUCUUCAGGAUGUUUCUAACCCUCAUUUGUUGUUUGAAAUGCGUUCUAUUUGGUUUCUUGUCAAUCACAGAAGGUUUGAUUUUUACAUAAUGCACAUCAGGUCUCACACUGACAUGCCAGGGCCAAUAGCUGAAGGGAUCCGGGAAGCUGACAAGGCAGCAAUGUUCAACACAGUACCCAGGACCCUUGAGCAAGCAAAAUUGUCCCAUUCAUUUUUUCACCAGAAUGCACGCUCUCUAAAAAGACAAUUCAAAAUUACAAUUAAUCAGGCUCGAGAUAUUAUAUUGACUUGUCCAGACUGUCAAAAAAUAACCCCCAUGCCAUCUCAGGAAGGCGUUAACCCCAGAGGGUUAAUAUCCAAUGAGAUCUGGCAAACAGAUGUCACACACAUUCCCGAAUUUGGCACCUUGAAAUAUGUACAUGUAACUGUAGACACACACUCACAGUACAUCACUGC